GGCAGUGUGGUGUAGUGGUUUGGGUGCUGGACUAUAACACUCAGAGCUCAGGGUUUGAAUCCCUGCUUGGUCA